AGUGAACGCUGGCGGUAGGCCUAACACAUGCAAGUCGAACGGCAGCACAGUAAGAGCUUGCUCUUACGGGUGGCGAGUGGCGGACGGGUGAGGAAUACAUCGGAAUCUACUUUUUCGUGGGGGAUAACGUAGGGAAACUUACGCUAAUACCGCAUACGACCUACGGGUGAAAGCAGGGGAUCUUCGGACCUUGCGCGAUUGAAUGAGCCGAUGUCGGAUUAGCUAGUUGGCGGGGUAAAGGCCCACCAAGGCGACGAUCCGUAGCUGGUCUGAGAGGAUGAUCAGCCACACUGGAACUGAGACACGGUCCAGACUCCUACGGGAGGCAGCAGUGGGGAAUAUUGGACAAUGGGCGCAAGCCUGAUCCAGCCAUACCGCGUGGGUGAAGAAGGCCCUCGGGUUGUAAGGCCCUUUUGUUGGGAAAGAAAAGCAGCAGGUUAAUACCCCGCUGUUCUGACGGUACCCAAAGAAUAAGCACCGGCUAACUUCGUG
rnacentral:rRNA from 1 species